rnacentral:ncRNA from 2 species
ACAACCUAUCCGGGGAGCUCGCACCAGCGGGCUGAGAGAGUGGCUCAGGGCCACUGACCCGCAACCUGAUCUGGGUAAUGCCAGCGGAGGGAGAUCAUGAGCGAAGUAG